rnacentral:rRNA from 1 species
GAGAGUUAAACAGUACGUGAAAUUGUUGAAAGGGAAACGAUUGAAGCCAGUCGUACCUUCGGGUAAUCAGCCUUUCGGGUGCGAUUCUGUGGGGUUUGAGGAGCUUAACACCUUCAUGCUUUUGCAUAUUCGUGCUCUUGGGUGUACUUGCCCGUGUGGUUGGUUAACAUCAAUUUUGGUGGUCAUAAAAUGACUGGAGGAAUGUAGCUUCGAUCUUGUAUUGAAGUGUUAUAGCCUUCGGUAGAUGUGAUGAUCGAGAUUGAGGAUUGCAACGGAUACCCUUCGGGGCUACCUGUCUGGUCUCUGAUCGUUGCUCUGGUGCCGAAAGCUUGCUUACGGUUAUCAAAGUCGAUGGUCAAUAGGUUAGAACGGGUUAAAUUCGUUAAGGAUGUUGACGUAAUGGCUUUAAACGA